GCCUGCAUAGCUCAGUUAGUAGAGCGAUUGCUUCGUAAGCAAUAGGUCGAGGGUGCAAAUCCCUCUGCAGGCU
rnacentral:tRNA from 1 species